rnacentral:rRNA from 1 species
UACGGAGGGUGCAAGCGUUAUCCGGAUUUACUGGGUUUAAAGGGUGUGUAGGCGGGCAUUUAAGUCUGGGGUGAAAUCUCCGAGCUCAACUCGGAAACUGCCUUGGAUACUAUUUGUCUUGAAUUAUGUUGAGGUUGGCGGAAUAUAACAUGUAGCGGUGAAAUGCAUAGAUAUGUUAUAGAACACCGAUUGCGAAGGCAGCUAACUAAGCAUAUAUUGACGCUGAGGCACGAAAGCGUGGGGAGUCAAACAGG